UACAACCAACUUGUUCACUGCCAAACAUGGCUCCCCAACCACAUCUGUCCUUGUUCUAGAGCUCCUUGUAGGUCUACGAUCCUUCCAUACUUAUAGCCAAAACUCUGGGAGUUUUAUGAAACGUUUGGCUGUAACAAAUUAGUUUGUGGGAGUGCUGAUGAUCGUGACGCUCACGAGUUAGCGUGCCACUAAUUAAUAAACAUGGGCCCUAAUAAACAUGAAUGAGUUAGCGUGCCACUAAGUUAAUAAACAUGAAUGAGUUAGCGUGCCACUAAGUUAAUAAACAUGGGCCCUAAUAAACAUGAAUGAGUUAGCGUGCCACUAAGUUAAUAAUCAUGAAUGAGUUAGCGUGCCACUAAGUUAAUAAUCAUGGGCCCUAAUAAUCAUGAAUGAGUUAGCGUGCCACUAAGUUAAUAAACAUGGGCCCUAAUAAUCAUGAAUGAGUUAGCGUGCCACUAAGUUAAUAAUCAUGGGCCCUAAUAAUCAUGAAUGAGUUAGCGUGCCACUAAGUUAAUAAACAUGGGCCCUAAUAAACAUGAAUGAGUUAGCGUGCCACUAAGUUAAUAUUCAUGAAUGAGUUACAUGGCACUCUGCUGCUGAUAGAUACAUCAGCAGCCCCCAAUCCCCUCCAGGCCAAAGCAAACAUUGGUUGAGUCAAUCUAGUUUAUUAAAACUGAAUUUAUCAUGGUCCAUAAAUAUAGCUGAUUGGUUGAAUUAGCAAAAAGUGAUCGACAUACACAGUCUUUGUCUCAUUGUAACCCAGAUUUCAACCACAAAUUAUACCAAUAGGGUUCCAAAGAUUGGUUUAUUUCUAGUUGAAUUUAAGUUUGAUGACAACUCAAUCAAAUAUCAAUCAAAAUUGUAUGUUGAUCUGGUGUCUUUGCUCGGAGAGUAGAUUGAAUUUCCUUGGAUAAAGGUAGCUCUGGUCCAGUGUGCAGCUGGGCUAACACUGAGCUCAGUAAGCCGCACGUAACACCCUGGAUCAGAGCUAGAGGAAAUAGUAGCAGGUGAUCUAUGAACUGAAACAAAAGGAUGAGGGAAAAGGAAGCUCCCAGCUGCCUGAAAUGUCAAUGAGUGAGCUAUGUCUCUUCAACCUGCUAUGCACGGCAUCUAGAGCUGAAAAUCACAAAAGCAUGACAGCAUAUUUCACUAAGUUGCCACGGGAGUACCAAGGCCUGUCUGAAGAAAACAGAUGUGCAAGCAUGAAGGUUGAGAUUGAACGUGCAUGAAGUGAGUCUGCAGCCAAAAAGAGAAAAUCUGUCUCUGUGUACAGAUAAUAUGACAGAUAUCACAUAUCACAGACAUAACUAUGACUACUUGUCAUUUUAAAGUGUUUUUCAUGGUUGCAAAGACGAGGGACGCAAAUGCCAUCGCUUGAAGAACGAUCCAACCACAUAUUACAUAAUUGAAUUCCCCUAAAUAAAGUUAAU
rnacentral:lncRNA from 1 species